UCUCUUCUCUCCUCUUCUCCCCUCUCUUCUUCUUCUUCCUUCUCCGGUGAUCGGACAGCGACCUCCCAAGCGGCUCCCCACCCUGCCGGCGACCCUCCGGCGACGGCCAAAACCACCAGAAACGGCGGCAAGGGAGGGAGAAGAGAGAGAAAACGCGCGCAUAGUGGGCAGCGACUUUCUGGCGUGAUUCCGGCUUCAUCCGACGUCCGAUCGAGGCGAUUCAGGUGGCGUUGGAAAGCUUGUUCCGAGAGCUUUCUUUUGAUACCAAUUUUGCAGCAAAUGGAGGUCGGAUGAGUGAGAUAUGGAGGAUAGAAGUUUCGGGUUUUUCAAGCUUUUUCGUCAGAUCUAUGACGAUCCGACCGUUGGAUCGACGAUCCGAGACCACCUAUGGACUGAGAAAGAGGAGAGGAACAUAGUGGUAUGAUCAGAUCCGGCAAAUGUCGCCGGCGGCCGGCCACCGUGCGCGGUGGUUCCGGUGGGCUAUGGAGAUAAUUCAACUUCCAGAGGCUUCCUCAUAAAUUUUUAGAAUUUUUGAGACACAGAUAAACUUCGGGUGAUCGAGGUCAACUAUUUUUCUGCAUCCAGCAGCCACAAUAGUCAUCGGUGUACUGCCACAGGAGGAUUUAUUUUACAGAGCAACCUGUUUUCUUCCUCGCAGGUUUAACGUCGAUUAUUUAAUUAUUUUACUAUCUUUUCUAAAUUUAAAAUCUAGAACUCCGCAUGUGUUAGUAAUAGUGUGGACCUUGUUAGAAAUUGUGUUAAUUUAAAUUUUUGAGAUUAAUAAAUGAAGAUUUUUAUGGUAUUUAACAGUUUGUAAAUGAGGUAACAGGAAUGAGCUGGGCUCCCCCUGAUUUUAGUUUCUGAAAAUUUCUGGGCUAAGUUGGCCCGAAAUGAAAUUAUAACAGUUUAAUUUAAAUUAUUUUAUAUGCAUAUUGGGCCUAAAUUGUGGGCCUGGUUAUGGAUUUGAGGAAUAGUUAGGCUUACUACGGGCCUCGGGGGCUUUAAGCUGGCCCAAGUCCUAGUGUCGGUCCGGCCCAUAGGUUGGGUAGUGACAAAGUUGGUAUCAGAGCUUAGGCUCUAGAUUCA